GUGCUCACUUAGGCAGUGCAUGUACUAAAAUUGGAACAAUAUAGAGAAGAUUAGCAUGGUUCCUGUGCAGGAGCUUUUGCAAUUUGUAAAGCACUUCAUACUUUU
ensembl:snRNA U6 U6 spliceosomal RNA